rnacentral:rRNA from 1 species
UACGGAAGGGGCAAGCGUUGUUCGGAAUCAUUGGGCGUAAAGGGCGCGUAGGUGGUCGUGUAUGUCUCCCGUGAAAGCCCACGGCUCAACCGUGGUGUGUCGGGAGAAACUGCAGGACUUGAGGCUGGGAGGGGCUGGUGGAAUUCCCUGUGUAGCGGUGAAAUGCGUAGAUAUCUGGAGGAACACCGGUGGCGAAGGCGGCAUCCUGGACCAACACUGACACUGAUGAGCGAAAGCCAGGGGAGCAAACGGG